AUGCACUGAAGUAGAUGUUUUUGACAACCAGCAGUGAUAUAACUUGAAAAGUACCUCUUUCCUUCUUUCUGGAAGAAUUUGUGAAUGACAGUUCUGCUGAACAGAACCAGAAAGCAGUGCGAAUCAUAUUAUUUGUUAAUGUGCCAGAGUGGAAUUCCCGUUUGUCAUGUUCAAUUCCUUUCUGAGCUCAGACUUGGGGGCAUAUAGAUGAUUACUCUCACUUGGAACGAUUCCAGGUAUUCCACUUGACAUUGCACUGCGACUAUACCAAUGUUUCUGAAAUCUGAGGAAAAAAAAAAUCGAGUUCACCAAAAAGAUGGUGAGACUUUUAAACAAGUGAUUCUAUAGAUGAAGACAGCUUGUGUCCUUUUAUCUGGAGUCCUGAUGAGACUUUUGGAUCUGGUUGGACCCUAUCAGAAUUCCCUAGCUGGAGUUCAACAGGAGCUGCAAGCCAAGUCCAGUGUCAGAGAGAGCUGGUACAGAU